GAUGAACGCUGGCGGCGUGCCUAAUACAUGCAAGUCGAGCGAACGGACGAGAAGCUUGCUUCUCUGAUGUUAGCGGCGGACGGGUGAGUAACACGUGGAUAACCUACCUAUAAGACUGGGAUAACUUCGGGAAACCGGAGCUAAUACCGGAUAAUGUUUUGAACCGCAUGGUUCAAAAGUGAAAGACGGUCUUGCUGUCACUUAUAGAUGGAUCCGCGCUGCAUUAGCUAGUUGGUAAGGUAACGGCUUACCAAGGCAACGAUGCAUAGCCGACCUGAGAGGGUGAUCGGCCACACUGGAACUGAGACACGGUCCAGACUCCUACGGGAGGCAGCAGUAGGGAAUCUUCCGCAAUGGGCGAAAGCCUGACGGAGCAACGCCGCGUGAGUGAUGAAGGUCUUCGGAUCGUAAAACUCUGUUAUUAGGGAAGAACAUAUGUGUAAGUAACUGUGCACAUCUUGACGGUACCUAAUCAGAAAGCCACGGCUAACUACGUG
rnacentral:rRNA from 1 species